rnacentral:rRNA from 1 species
CCUUCCACGGUUUCUGCGACGCAGCUAACGCAUUAAGUGCCCCGCCUGGGGAGUACGAUCGCAAGAUUAAAACUCAAAGGAAUUGACGUGGCCCCGCACCCAGCAGCGGAGCAUGCGGCUUAAUUCGACGCAACGCGAAGAACCUUACCAAGGCUUGACAUAUACAGGAAUAUGGCAGAGAUGUCAUAGCCGCAAGGUCUGUAUACAGGUGGUGCAUGGUUGUCGUCAGCUCGUGUCGUGAGAUGUUGGGUUAAGUCCCGCAACGAGCGCAACCCUCGUUCUGUGUUGCCAGCAUUUAGUUGGGGACUCACAGGAGACUGCCGGGGUCAACUCGGAGGAAGGUGGGGAUGACGUCAAAUCAUCAUGCCCCUUAUGUCUUGGGCUGCACGCAUGCUACAAUGGCUGGUACAAACGGCUGCAAUACUGCAAAGUGGAGCGAAUCCCAAAAAGCCAGUCUCAGUUCGGAUUGGGGUCUGCAACUCGACCCCAUGAAGUCGGAGUUGCUAGUAUCGUAGAUCAGCAACGCUACGGUGAAUACGUUCCCGGGGCUUGUACACACCGCCCGUCACAUCACGAAAGUCGGUAACACCCGAAGUCAGUGGCCCAACCGUAA